UCAAAGAUUUAAAGAUUUGUGUGUAUUGAAAUUCUUGUGCUUGCCUUUUCGGGAAAGCCGACCAAUUUUAAAAUAAAAAUACAAUAUUUACAUAAAUGUACAUGAAAUAAAAUAUAAGUAAGACAGAGAUGAGUUAAGGGGAAAAGUGCAAAACUGAGCAGGUUGUAAAAAAAAACUUAAAUGAAAUGAGUGCAAUAUAAAUUGAUAAAAUAAUAUAUAAACAGUACAGUAACAGUAAGUGAAAUCCUAACAAGCUAAGGUGCAGACCAGUCGUGAGUCCUCUCAGCGGUUGAUGGCUCUAAUGGCAGUGGGGUAAAAAGAGUUUUUCAGUCUGGUGGUCCUGCAUUCGGCACUUCUACACCUCCUGCCUGAGGGUGGAAGCUCGCACAGUCCACGUUGGGGGUGGGUGGGGGUCUUUGAAACGGAGGCAGCUCUCCUGUGAACCCCGCGGUGGUAGAUGCUCUGCAGAGAGGAGCUCGCAGCUACUUUUAGCAUUUGAAGCCCCUGUCCGCCUCGAUGCCUCUCCCCCCCCCCCGUCAGCGUUUCCCCAGCCAAAGGUAGCUUCCCAACAAUGAGACGUGAACCAUGAAUUGCUUUUCAGCCGAGUCAAACUUCCCAGCCACCUAAUGGCCUCGUGUCAUGUUCACCACCAGUUCCAGCAGCAGCUCUCCUCCCUGCGCCGCUAAUUAGCAGGAAGCGGAGGCCCCACCACGUCCCCCCAGACUCCCCCCUUCACCAAUGAGAAUAACAGCCAGCGCGCCGCGGAAUGAAUUAUGGAUCCUUUAAAAAAAAAAAAAAAAUGUUUUCACUUUGAAGAAUCACGCGAGCACUUUUAACACGCGGAACGUUUUGGUGGCCAUUUAUAUGCACGUUUUUUUUUUUAAAAGCUGUUUCCAAUGCCGGCGGAGACGGAGUAAUGAGUGUACUCGCGGCGGCGUAAUGAGUCAGCCGAGCGUUUGGUUUCAACCAGAGCGCCACCCUGAACCGCUGCCCUGCUGUGUGUGUGUGUGUGUGUGUGUGUGUGUGUGGCAUCCAGCUCUCUCCCUUUAUCCCCAGCAGACUCCGGCUGGCCUUCCGAAGCCUUUCUGCACCGCUGAGAGCUGCCUCCGCUUUUCAAAAUUCAAGUGGGUGCCGCAAUAUCAACUUUGUAAAUACGGAGAAAUCCUUGAGACACUCUGCAGAAGCCGGGAUGAUUAAACGGUUGUUGGUUGGGUUUGAAACCAACAUUUUCUCUCGAUGAGAUUACAUGAAGCAGAAUUUCAUAUUCGUUUUAUUUCUUUCUCUCCGUAGGACGUGGAAGAUAUUCCUCCCCGGUGAAAAGCAAAGCACCACACACACUCCUGACCUCGAUAUAACAGCUUUCAUCUUCAGUGUGCUGAAGAGUUCACUCAGACGAGAUGAAGCCUUUCCGGAGCUGCAGAACAUUCACCCGGGUCGGCUCCUCAGAGAGAGAAACCCGACUGUUUCAGUCAACCUCCCAAAUUACGAAGGAAACCCAUUAACGAAUCCAAUAUCAUUGUGCUUUUAAUGUGCGACUUUGAAAAGCCAGCGAGAGCUAUUUACGUGCAUUUUUAAUUGGGUGGUAAAAAUGAGGGAGAAGGAAAGAAAACAGACGGCAGUGAACUCCACAUCGGAACGCAGAGGCCAUUUACAGCAAUUUAGUGUGGCGGGAAUCCAGCCGCCUCCCCGCAGAAGAUCCAGUGACAGUAAUGAAUCAUAGUUAAGAACACAGCGCUGUGUAAGCUCGCACUUUAUUAAACAGUCAGCAGCUCAUUGCUUUCGAUCCCUUGCAACGCCAUUGCAAUAUAUUAUAGUCCACCACAUCGACAGCUCCCCCCCUCGUCGCUUUAGAUGUGAUGUUUCUUUAGCUCGGAGGAACAACAACAACAACAACAAGCAAAGCGACCCGAGGAGCCCUCCUUUGGAGUGUGAGAACAACGACCUUGACUCCUGCUGUCUGCGUUCCGACGCCGGCGGCAGGGAUUUAAUCACUGCGUCCCUUUUCGUGCGCCAGACGGGUUCCCCUCUGACAUCGUGGUGGAGGACGAGAUAUAUGUUGGAUCGAGUUCUCGGGUUCUCGGGUUUCCGCUCAGCGGCAUCGCUUGUCACCACGUGGUUCUUCUACCUGGUCGGCUCCUCGUUGUGCUCGGGGGGCCGUGAGCCCUCGAACCUUGAACUUCCGUAAUGGCCGCGAGUCGUUCUUGGACGAUCCGCGCACGGAGCCGCGCGCCAUUUAAAGGACUUUUUAGGCUCCUUCAUGCGAUUCUGCACAAACGGCCGGUUUUGCUGCUGGCAGCAACCUGCUAAAUGAGAAUGAAUCUUGCAUUCUACUUGCAACCCAGAAGAAAGACCGUGUCCAGUGUCCCCGAGACCUGAUCUCCCACUGCGUCGUCCACGCACACUCGAUUUGUUCCCGUUAUGGGGUUUGUUCUACACACCUCGUACUCGCUUCCAAAUGCUUGCAUUGUUACUCUGGUUUGUCAGAGCUGUCACAUCGCCGGCGUGUGUGAAGCGGUUCAGACGCCUGCUGCUGCCACCAGCUGCCCGGCAGCCUUCCUGCAAGGCGAGCACACGCCGAGCUGCACGAUGAACGGUGAGGUUCCGCGCAUUGCAUAACAUGCCGGGCGCUUCGCCCCCCCCCACUUCGCUCAGCAGGAAGUCCUUCGGCUGGUGAUGUUCACGGCGGGGUAUCUGUGCGGCUCCAUGCUGGUCAAGGCUUCUCCUCUUGAUGCUGAUACUGUGUUAAAUAUACUCUAUAUAUAUAUUUCUGUUGGAAAGAAGAACCGUCCCUACUUUAUUAAAUGAAAACGUCAGCAUAAACAUAUGUUGGUUUAAAGGCCAGAGGCCCUGUAGCAUCCUGGGACAUCUUUUUGUGAUAUAAUUAGGUGUUAUUCUCCGGGUGUCAUGAGCUGAAAAUAACGACUGGUGUGUGUUUUGCACCGUGUUGUUGUCACUGCUGCCGCUCUGGAUGGAGCCUUCGGCGAUUUCGUGUCGGCCCUUAAAAACCUUCAGCUGGUCGGAACCUGGGCAAGCGGAAAGCGCAUCCACGUGACACAAAUGUCCAACGACAGCACAUGCACGCAUUUCAUUCUUCGACAAAAAGACUCGAAACACAAAAUGCCGUGAAUCCCGAGCUGUGCUGCGCGGGACCCGUCCGGCUUCCGGCGAUGCGUCCCGCCACGCGGCUGGACGGCGGCGUUUGGUCUGGUCCGAGAGCGGCUUUAAUCAGUGUCGCCCGUCGGCGGGUAUCAGCGCGCCCACACAAGACGGCCGAUCCCACGGCUGCUCUGCUCAGCGCGGGGGAUGCGUGAGCGCAAUCUGAAAGCCGCUCCGCUAACGCAGACGGAGCAUCUCCAGAGGCCCGUUCCUGGGAGCAUAUCACUUCCCAUUCCAGCUCACGGGCCUGUUGUGUAAUUCAUCUUAAUUUAGGGGCAGGAGGUGGCGGAGGAGGGUGUUAUAUGCGGGGGCUGUCAGGUUGGACCUGCAUGCUUUUAAUAAAGAAGAAAAAGAGGGAGCUGAACACAAUCGCUCGUCAUCUUUGCAGAGGAGGAAUGAUUUACGGGGUCUUUUGGGAUCUUGAUGUAUGCAAAAGUUAUUUUAAGAUAUUAUGCCUGCCGCCUAUUCUGUUAGGGGGUUACACCUCCAUAGGCAAUGAUUAUAAACCCCCUAUUUAGUCUUUUUCUGUCUAGUUUAUUGCUUCAUAAAUCACUACUGGUUUUAUUGUAUUAUUUCCCCAAAGAAAAAGGAAACUAUAUUUGAAUCAGAGGUGCACGCUCGACUCUUUACGCUUAUUACCACAACAAAAGCUUUACAGCAAUAUUUUUAUAAUCAUACAUAACCUCCACAAAUGAUGAACAUCACCGCCAUGCGGCUUUAAUCGCGUGUUUGCAUUCGUCUCUCUUACAAAACUAAACGUUUCAGUCUCCCGAUUAAGUCGUCGCCAUUCUGCAGACAUGUGAACAGACGGAUGUGUGUGAGUUAUAUGAAGACGAGACAAAAGCACAUGGAGGUCAGUGACCUGCCGAGACCAACGCCACCCCGGGGACUGAAGUCCAACUGGUGUUUCUCUUCGUAAUUGCUGCGGUUCUGGGAAAACGAACACAACGUGUUGUCAUCAGGUCGUCGCAAUGACUCACGGCUGACGGAGAGAGCAAACGGGUGCUAAUGAGCACAAAUACAGGCUUCUUUUUUUGAAACGUCUGCGUCUGGUGAAACUGGCCGAGGGUCACAUGCUCCCGCUUCAGGAUCGUGAAACACCAAGCGGCGCGGCGCUCGCCGCGAUGGUGCACGUUUGCCUCGAUGUGAUACGCAGCACCUGUCGUGUGGGGAAUAUUAACUUUCUCCUCGGCCCGCGUCUCUUCCCGCCUGUCCUCCUGUCCUCCCGCCAUGCGUCUCUGCCUCCUCCUUUCAUCUCUCGUCUGCACCACCCGUCUGGUCUGCCACCAUCUUGGGCGAAUGCAGCGACGCUCACGCCGCCGCCGAGAGGACAGGUGAGCGUGUCAGAUAGCCGCACGCUGGGAGAUUUAUGCGUGUGUACGCGGCGCCUCGACACCGGAGAACGGGCUCAGUAAAUAACAGGAAGCAGCCUUUCCCUUGUGAGCACUGUUGUCUUGAGAUGACGCCACCUUGGUUUUCUGCAACAGCCGACGCAGGGAGAGAGAUUCGAUUUCCCGUCGGCACGCAUUGGAAACACGCAAACGCCCUGAAUCCUCUCCAAAGGUGUGACGCGAGGCCACGUAAGUCAGGCCCGCACGUCCCGUCCCCACACUGCGGACCGCUAUCGAUCCUCGCAGACAGCUCCGGCACAAUCGGUUCGAAUCAUUGAGGUUAGAAGCCGCUUGAUUAUCUGCCAUCUGAUUGGUGCGUGUGCAGUAAAAGCCUUGGCUUCAUUUAAGUGUUGCAUAUCAUCUUACUUAACGGUGUCUAAGGGGAACAGACAGUUUAGACCAAUAAAUGUGAUGUAAAUCUUCUUCUAUCUGCCAUGCUGGGGGAAGGUUGGAUGCAUCAUGUAUCACGUUUUACGGUAUUACUGUAUAUUCACCACUACAAACACUACACCGUGUUUCACAAUAACACGUAACCCUCUGCAUGUUACUGGGAACAGUCAACAGACACCAUGUGUGCACACGAUAGUAAAACUGUAACGUUCCAGUGAAGUUAAUGGUCCAGACAUCAAGCGAAGGCGUGCAGAGUCUCACCGGUGGAACGUUUCACACCAGGUUUCUCCACCAAACCCCCUUGCAAGGCUUUUGCCCGCCGCUCGUUGUCCAGACCUCUGAUAAACGAUGUUGCUCCUCUUGGACAGCACACCGGCCCGCUCUCAUCCCUUUGUGUGGGGAAAAUCAAUAAAAAGGAAACACCUAAAACCCUCCUCCGCUGUCAUGGCGCCGAGGGGCGGGACCUCUGAGGGCAGCGGGGGGCCCCGGUCCGCCUCCACUUCACGUGCCAACCAGACCGGCACGUGUCACCCGUGGGACGUGUUGUUUAGCAGGACUGCUGGCGCCCCUCGACGCGCCGCCACCGCCGCCGCCGGACGCCGGAAAGGGAGGAGGUGUUUCCUCACCGGCCGCGCUCCAACAAAAAAGAGACACACAACGGCUGUGGAGGGUCGUGCCAAGCUUCCCUGUGCUGUGAUGUUAAUAACAGUAGCAGAAGGGAUCACAUCAGUCGGUAUCUCCAGCUUGUAGUUUCUGCUGCGCCUGCAGCCACCAAGGCUGAUCGGUGAUGAUGAGCGGAACCAGAUAGCAAAGCACAGCAUCACGGUCAUAGUUGGCGUAUGAAUAAAGAUUGUUUGUGCGGGGCUUUCACGCGCUGUCUGAUUGGUUGCGUGAAGGGCAAGGCUCCGCCCACAUGCAGCAGGCGAAGAAUCUCACUGAUGGCGUGUUACUGCUCCGGUGACGUUCAACUUAAUUUAAUCACGGAGGCUUUUGUUGAUUACGUUUUGUCUCUUAUCAAGUUAUUGUUGUUGUGUGAGCAGGAUAAUAGACAGCACGUCACUGUAAUGGUCUUUACAGCAGGCCUGAAGACAUUUUAACCAUUAGUUUCAAUUUGCAAACAAUUGUUACUUUAUUAAUUCAUUCCUUGUGUUUCUACACCAGCCACCAUUUAUGGGAAUAGUUAUAGUUGAAGACACAUCCGUUAAUAAAUGCUUAAUUAAUCAUUAUUUAAUACAAUAUAUGGCCUAAAUACUGGGAAUUAAAACCCUUUUGUCAAAGUUUUGGUCACAUUAAGAACAGUGUUUGAGAUUUAUACACAGAAAUAGGAUCCUCACACGCUGUUCCUUCAGUAUUUCACUCCAGUUUAAGUGCAAACUAUCUCCAGGCUCCUUAUUGAGAUAAAACCUUUUCAAGGCCCACUUGCUCAUUUGCAAAAGAGUCAAUGAGGGGGGGGGGGGGGGGGGAAUUGGUUAAUUGAUUGAAUUAAAAAUCCAACUUGAAUAGGUUGCAACUCGGAAGCGACGAGUGCUUCAGCGUCGCUUCUUUGGCUGCUCCAUUAAGUUCAAUAGCAACCAUUAGCCUCUGGAAAUCAGCAAAUCCGGAUAGACAGGAGGCGUAAUAAUUGUAAAACGGGAAUAUUCCUCAUUUUAGAUUAACUGUCGCAUCUUAUUGCACAGAAGUCCCACGUUUCCGUUCCGCAGUCAUCGAUGUCUGACUCCAAUCGACAGGAGCUUAACCAGAGAGCAGCGUUAUUCCACCGCCAGUCGCAGCUCACGCCCGUGUUCACGUUUCUGACACUCUUCGUUCUCUCAUUCCAGCCCCCCCUCCACUAACCCCCCUGUAAUUCCCUCACACCUCGCAGCACUCAGCCCCUCAUGGAUCCCGUCCCUCCUCUCAGCAGGAAGGAUGCCAGGGUUUAUGGCAAGGAAGGUGGCGGUUGAAAAGGACCCCCCCCUCCCCUUCCCUUCACACCCCCCAAACAACAAAAAGAAGCUAACACAUGAAUUCAUCACGCAGGCUGCCAGUCACACCACGCGUACAGUCAGGCGCGUGAAGCGAGAGCAAAUGAGCAGCCUGCGUGUGACUCGUGGCUGUCGGAGAGCUGCUGUCCACUAUCCUCCGAUUAGCAUCGUUUUCACCGGAUCUGCAGGAACUACGUGUCUGUUAUUAACCCGAGGAUCAGUCGGCCCUUUAUUCCGCCCAUGCGCGGCUUUUUUACACCAUGCAACUGUUGUGUGAUGUGUUGCAUCGAGGAGACUACGUUGAGUGUUUUGGCUCGACUCGAGACGUUGUCAUUCCUCGCCGGGUGGAGCGAGGCUUCUGUGCACCGGCCGGCGCGGCUUCACAGCUCGCUGCGGCCCGUCGCACUCAUUGCACGCGAUGAGCGGCGACGAUAAAGGAGCCAGUUUGCCACAAGCGCCGAGCUGCUCUCUUUUCUUUAGCCUCCAAUCAAAAGAGGGCAGCAAACGCCUGCUGGUUGCGGACCGGUGACACAACGACUCACUCACUGACCCGAGGUCACUGCUGCACAAGGCGGCGCCUCACCUCCACCAUGGGAAGGAGGUCCGCGAGGAGCGUUUCCCCUCACGUGCUCAAACUGGUUCAGGAAGCUGUUCUGGAGAACUUUCCCACACUGAAGUAAUUCACACACCCGCAUCGACCCGCGAAGGCUUUCACACCCGCUGGUGUUUAUAGAAAGAACUCUUUCCAUCUCUCUCCCUGUGGUUUGGAUGCGUCGACAAGCUGCACGCCAGAUGUUUCCACAACAACGCACAAGAACUGUGCUCAGACGGAGGGGGAGGGAAUAACCUCAGAGAAAAAUAGGUUUCAUUUAGAAUGAUUUUUUUCUCUGCAGUAUUCUCACAGCAAAACUUUGGAUUAUCUGCGUCGAUCCGGAUCGCUGCGUUCGAGUUCUCCGCGCCUGCACGUGUACAGUAGGUGGUUUCUAAAAACACCAAAAUGUGCCAUUUAUUGUAAAUGCACGAACUGACCUGUGACAAAUAGAGCUGUCACCAUCACUGCCGCUCAGGAACAACUGUACCUGCCGCUGUGCAGUAAACCGCUUGGGUGACUGCAGGGAAACAGACACACGCUGUCAGGGAGCACAUGACUCAUUUGCAUUUUUCCUCGGCAUUGAUAUUACAAUCACACACUUAAUGGCAGGUUGUUUGAAAUGUUUCUUUAGGAAAGCCUGAAGCGUAAAUAGUCUUUGAACACAGGAGAUCAAUUGUCUCCGAUGAUCAAAAAGUACAGUUUUCCCUUUGAAGCUUGAGGCCGUUCUGCUGAAGGCUCCCGUAUCAAACAUUGCUGAUUCAGUGACAUUUCAUAAAGCCCCGGCUAUAAUAUUAUUCACCAUCUCCUCUGAAGAAAGGCAAAGAAUCACAGGGACAGAAUCUCACAAACCGGGAAGUACGGUGGAGGCCGGCGAUGAAACGUGACGCACAUGCGAUUUGAUUC
ensembl:lncRNA